rnacentral:rRNA from 1 species
UACAGAGGGUGCGAGCGUUGUUCGGAAUUACUGGGCGUAAAGCGUGCGUAGACGGUUAUUUAAGUCGGAUGUGAAAUCCCCGGGCUCAACCUGGGAAUUGCAUUCGAUACUGGAUGGCUAGAGUUCGGCAGAGGGAAGCGGAAUUUCGGGUGUAGCGGUGAAAUGCGUAGAUAUCCGAAGGAACAUCAGUGGCGAAAGCGGCUUCCUGGACCAGAACUGACGAUCAGGCACGAAAGCGUGGGGAGCAAACGGG